UAGCUGAGAGGCUGAUAAUACUGGGAGAAUAAUAAGAAGGUACAUAUUGAAUAAAAGUCAAGUAAUAUACAUGGUUGUGUUCUGUAGUGUGUGCAAUUUACAAUUUUUGUGUAAUGUAUUGUAUUUUGUAAUUGAUUGACAGUGGUAAAUAACAGGUAUGGUUUACUAAAAAGAAUUUUUUACAAUGCAUUACAGUAAUUGGGCAUUAAUAUUUAUAAGUGGCUAUACUAUUUACAAAAAAAAUAGGAGUUAGUCUUCAUAAUUCAGAUGAUGGGCCCAUCACUGUACCCUUAAUCCCACACUGAUUUCUCCUUUACUUUGUUUCACUCAAUUCUGAGCAGUUGUCAUGGACAUAAACUGUAAACUCGCAGUAUAUACCGGUACAGUGUGUGUGUCUUUAGCCACAUUCCUGUUUGUUGCAUUGAGAAAUUAUGUUGUUAGUGUUUAGUAGUGGUUUACCUUAUAUUGCCAAAAUUGGUCUUAGUUUUUUCUUACUUAAUUUUAUCAAUUCAUAACUCCAUAGCUCGGUGGUACAGGUUUCACCUCGGCAAAGGACCCUAAUCCAACUCUCAUCCAUAGUGAAGAAGUGGAUUACCUCCUUGUGCACUCAGCAGUAAAAAUGAGUAACACUAUUGUAGGCACUUCCUGCAGUUGAACAUCCCUUGGGUAGACUAGCAUCCUUCCAAGGAAAUGGGGUAACACUCUACAGUAAUUGCUGAAUGCUAAGAAUCAGGGCAUUUGCACCUAAUUGGCCACCAAGAGUGAGAGAAAUGAGUAGUUGUGCAUGCCACCAAGGUUUUAAUGCAUGUGUUAAGUCUAAAAGAAUGUUCACACAGCAUUGAAAGUUUAGGUGGAGGGCAUUAUUCCAUGCUAUCUAGUCAUACUGUAUAGGUUCCACACAUAAUGGCCUUGACCUAACAAUAAGUUUUAUGUCCUGAUCCUAGUGUUAGAUUAAAAUGAGGCCUCUGACCACCAAACUUAUUCCAUUAGGAUAAAACUUCAACACACGGUACCAGUUCAGACAUCCAUAUCUAUCACACUAAACUUACAGUACCAAUAAUAUAUAGCAACCCCCAAUAAAGAUAUUUUUUUUAGUUAUUACCCCCAUUGUAGUGUAGAAAAACAGAGGAUUGUAUUAGUUCAAAGUAUUUCCCUACCCCCAUUACCCUGUAUAGUGUUCGAAAUUAGUAAAAUCAGAUCCAACCGAUUUACAUAGACAUUUUUAACCAUAUGUUGUACCCUAUAAGAACACCUUAGAAAAAGAGUAAAAGAACCAAUGUUAAAGCUAAUUAAAGAAGUUUUUUUUUCUCCUUUAUAAUACGGUCUAUAAACUGAUACAGCAGGAGAAUUUUUUGCAUCCCCUCCUUCCCCCAUUGUAGUGCCUUUUACUUCAAAUAUUACAUCUUAUUGUAGUGCUAUAAUUGAAGAAAAAAAUAUUCCCUUUACAGAUGAUUCCUCGAGUUAUAGACCCCGUUGUAUAAAUAAUUGAUCAAAAUGGUAUAGAGUACACAGUUUGCUACCACACUACUAAGUAUUGGCAGUGUUUAUUCCCACCACACAAUUCUACAGGUCAUACCCAAAAGCAGGGGACAUGGUUGUUAUCUUUCAUGCUGUGCUGAGGACAUAUCUUUGCUACCGUACUAAUGACUCAAAGUUUGUAGGUAUGUUGUUUUUGCAUGUGUUAAAUUUAUAUAAACAUGAGUAAGUGCACUAAGAGAUGACAUGGGUGCACUGGGAAAGGUGUGGUAAGUUUUAUUUUGAUGGUUAGGAGAAACAUUUAAAGGCAGUUAUGUUUUGCUUAACUCUUUGGUGUUUUAUUUGUUAUCUUGAUUUGUUAUGUUUGUUCAUGGUUACUGAAAUGUAUUUUGAGAAAUGAGCAGCAGUUCUUAUAGUAGCUAUUUCCUAGAGUCACAGUAUGUCCUCCCUGCAUCUUUCAUAUGGGGGUGAGUUUAACCCUAGGACAUUGAAAUUGAGAGUGAGAUUUAGUGGAACUGUUCUUUGAAUUAUUUAGUACUUUCUACAAAUAUUUUGACUAUAUGUACAGUAUAUGUAGCUGUAUUUUGUCUGUGUAUAUAUGUAUGUGGGAUGGAGUGUGUUUGUGUAUGUAUGUGGGGUGGAUGUUUGUGUGUGUGUGUGCAUGCAUGUGGUCUUUGUUUCAUUCAGAGCAGCAAGAAGAUACAGGUGUGAUCAUCCCUGUAGCUGUUCCCUUUACUCAACAGCAGCACUCAGAUAUUAGUUAGAAAAUAAUUCAUACUUUGGUUCAAAUCCUGUACAGUUGAAGUGAUGUGCAUAUUCUACUCUCUCAACCAGACCCUAUUAAAGAACUUGUUGUCCCACACAGAGAGUAAAACCUUAAGCAGAUAGUAACUUACAUUUGAAAUUAUGUUAUAGAAAAGGGAUAAUGGGCUGACUGUCUUACCGUGUAACGAGACUUGGAGAAGAAAAAAUUGGGUGAAUUUAUCCAGCAGAUUGGGGUAAAGGUUUGAAAGAGUUAUCAGGACUGUGAAACGUGAUGUAAAUAGUGUGUAAAUAGUUGCCAAUUAUCAAUUUCCAGGACAUUAGUGAAGAGUUGUAGAUUGUAGAGCACUGUAUAAUAGAACACUGAUGAUAACGAAUUAACGCUUCCCCAUCUUGACUGAGCACCGAUUCCAAAAAUAUCACUAAAAUCAAGUGUACUGCUGCUUAAAUUUCUCCCUCGUAAUCUCCGCCAACUAGAAUGUUUGUACAGUACAGUACUAUAUCUUGACAUUGAAUAUGAGCCUUAGUUACUGCAUUCAGGCUGGUUGUCACUACAGUAUAGUGAUCUGACACUGCAGACAAAUGUGAUGUUAAUACACACAUUGCUGUACAAUUUUAGUACCAUCAUAUGUUUGGGUCUUGCAUGUGUUUUCGAGCUACGGUCAUGUUCCUCAUUAAAUCCUGUAGUAGAUAUCUCCCUGACAGCUGAGGUGAUGCUGAACACAGGUCAAUGAUUGGUCGAGUGAGCCACAGUUCUCAUAUGCCCCAACAUUACUAAGUUAGGUUAGGUUUGGAUCCAUAUUAUGUUCAACCCAAAAUAUAUAUUGUCAGGUACUAGUAGUUACCAUCCUGUUAUUAACCUUAGAAAGCUUUACCUUGUUUCACUGUUUGAAUGAUAUGUUUUCAGUUAAUUAUCAAGUUCUGUUAUAUAUUCUUCUUAUCUCAGUUAACUUUGUUGUUAACUUUGUUGAUUUUUCAUCUUGACUUUUUAACAAGCCAUUUUAAAAGGGCACAAAAUUAAUUACUGUUUUAUGAUUGUCUGUAAUGAUGUGGGAAGUUUGGUAAUGAGUGUGAGAGUAUAUUUUACUUACUUGUGAGGUGUGGCAACUCUGUGGAAUACUGUACUGUACUUAUUUAGCAUCCUUAGGCUGGCUAUUAUUGUGAGGUUCCUUUGGGUCAUUUUGGGAGUUUUAAUAUGAAGUAAACAAACAAGUGUUGCCACAUCUCACAAAAUAUGCCAGCCACUGUACCAGGUAUAAAUGCAGGUGAUUGUACAUGACAAUACACUGUGUUAACUACUGAAUGGAGUCUCUCGUUUGCUGUCUCAGUGAUACAAUAUCAUGUUUCAGAUGGCUAAGUCUAUGCACUAAAAUGUAAAUUAUCUAUGUAAUAUAGUAAGAAAGUGGUUGUUGAUUUUAGUUAACAAAUCAAGUUUCAAUUAUUUUGCCGUGCUAUUUCCACAUCAUGUGCCGAGAACAUUUCAUUGCAAAAAAUGGGAUAGAUUUGUCUCAAGUAUAAAAAAAGAGGAGGAGCCUGCAAAUAGUCCUAACACUUGGAAUAAUUGUGGCAAAGAUCAGACUGUGAAUGUUGUACAGUUUAUUACUGACCAUAGUACUUACAGGGUUCUGUUUUAGGUUACUGCAUAUAGUGUCUGGAAUAAUCUGUGGUUUUAUGCAUAAAGUGAGAAACACUUCAAAACCUAUGUACUGUAUUAGAAAUUAAUUUUCUUCUUUCAUUAAGGAAAUUAAUAUUUUACUCGAGUAUAUUUUUCUGGAAGGCAAUAGACUGUGAUUGUGUCACAAAUUUACUGUACACAGUUUGUCACAAGUAUUCAUUAUAGUUUAAGUUACAGGUACUGUACUGUACUGUAGUAGAGACAAUUACCUAAAUCACUGUGUUGUGUGAUCUCAAGAUCAUUUAUUUUGUCUCAGUGUGAAUUAGCAUUUAGAUUUAGUUGUUACUUUUUUCUAUCUCAUAAUUUAUUGUUUUUAGUAAGCCAAGAAAUGCAGGUGUAUUCACAACCUACAGGGUCUGUACUGUACUUAAAAAUUAACACAAGAGUACAGUGCACAAAAUAAUGUGUAACAAAUAUGAAGUGUAGUAGAAAGCUACUGAACCUGUAUAAUAAAGAACAAUAAGAAACUGCACUAGUACAAUAAUUUAAAAUGAAUACAGUAAAUAUAUAUAGAAAAUGUGAAACAAAAAAGUGAGUCAAUAAUUGUGAGAAUGAAGAGACUUAAGUACAGAAUAUUAUAAGUGUGAGGUUGGGCAGUGUUCUAUACUGUAAAGUAAAUAACUGAAGGUUUAUGUUACCAGCAACAGCUUAGUGAUGAAGGGACAACAUGAAUGUUAAGGUACCUAAAGUUAUUGCAGUGAAUCUCAUUGUCAAAGGCAUAGAAUGGCACAAGUAGAGACAUUUAUGUACAAAAUAUAUUGCGUGGUUUAACAAAAUUGUAAAAGAGGUACAGGUACUACAAGGAGACUGCUGGCUAAUGCUUUAUAAUUCUGUCUCCAUGGUUAAUACUUUAUUACCCUAGGGAACUUGCUUUCCCUGAAGGGGCAGUUACACUGUUCCCUCCCCAAACACUUCAUACUCAGAUGAAGUACAACGACCAGAGUAUGAGUGCCAGUCAAGUUUUACUGACAAAUAGGGUUGUAGUCACAUAUAGUCAGAGGUAUGAUGGAGCUUAUUGUGUAUAUACUGUACCAAUGAUAACAAGCAGUAGCAGUGUUAGGGGUAGUGAAAGUAUUGAGAAAUAUAGAACGUGAGGAUGAAAGAUUACUGUACUUGCCUUGUAGUAAAUACGUUAGAAUUAAUCAAGAAAAUUUUCUCUAUUCUGUGAAUUAUGAGUCACAUUAAUUCAUGUAUAAAUAAUAUUCAUCUGAAACUUUGUGCAAUAUUACUAUUUCAAGUUUUGAGUCUAGAAUUUUGUUUUAUAUGGUAAAUGCCUCUCCAUAUCAUGUGUGAUUUUUUCUUCGAAAUUACAAUUGAUAUAUUUUCUAUUGAGCCUUUUUUUUUUCAUGAUCAAUUUAGAUUAUUUUGUUCACAUCUCAAAUACUCAGUUUAAUCUGUAAAUAGUUGUUAGAGCAUUAUUAAUUGUAACGAUGGGAACUAUAAGCUGUUGUAACCUAUGGGUGUAUCACAGAUCUCAGACCUCUUGGCUUUUUUGCCUUGUAAUGAACAAAUUUCACAGUCCCCUACACACAAAGCCAUUAUAACUCAGAGCCUGAAGCUUAUGCUCCCACACACGAUGCCUAUGUACACCUGGUAGAGCAAGGUGUGUUUGUCCAUUUACACCUGGUAGGGCAAGGUGUGUUUGUCCAUUUACACCUGGUAGAGCGAGGUGUGUUUGUCCAUUUACACCUGGUAGAGCAAGGUGUGUUUGUCCAUUUACACCUGGUAGAACAAGGUGUGUUUGUCCAUCUACACCUGGUAGAACAAGGUGUGUUUGUCCAUCUACACCUGGUAGAACAAGGUGUGUUUGUCCAUUUACACCUGGUAGAGCGAGGUGUGUUUGUCCAUUUACACCUGGUAGAGCAAGGUGUGUUUGUCCAUCUACACCUGGUAGAACAAGGUGUGUUUGUCCAUUUACACCUGGUAGAGCGAGGUGUGUUUGUCCAUUUACACCUGGUAGAGCAAGGUGUGUUUGUCCAUCUACACCUGGUAGAACAAGGUGUGUUUGUCCAUCUACACCUGGUAGAACAAGGUGUGUUUGUCCAUUUACACCUGGUAGAGCAAGGUGUGUUUGUCCAUCUACACCUGGUAGAACAAGGUGUGUUUGUCCAUUUACACCUGGUAGAGCGAGGUGUGUUUGUCCAUUUACACCUGGUAGAGCGAGGUGUGUUUGUCCAUUUACACCUGGUAGAGCGAGGUGUGUUUGUCCAUUUACACCUGGUAGAACAAGGUGUGUUUGUCCAUUUACACCUGGUAGUGUGAGGUGUAACUGGUAAACCCCUAAAACAUAGGAACACCCUUUUAAUUGAGACUUGGCCCUACCCUUUGACUACAGUGCCAGUCCUCCUGCCACUAAGCCACAAAGUCGUAUUCAAUGUGUCUUACUUUAUAUUUGUAACUGAAUGGAAGUCCUUUGUUUUUGUACACUUAGAAGACAUCUUUAUGUUGGUUUUAUUUAAUAUAUUUUUGACUGCUUUUUGUGGAUAAGAUUAAACAAAUUUAAACAAAAGUCAUUCGAAGAUAUACUAUAAUUUUUGUUGCUGAAAAGUGACAUUUCAGCAUGAGGAAGAUAAUGAAGGUACUGCAUUAAAAAUGAUAUGGACACUGAGAGCUUUGCAUGAAGUUGUGUGUAUACUGUAUUUAGAAUUAAUCAGUUCCAUUGUAUCUGGAAAGACAAUUUCAUGAGUCUUAGUAUACCAUGAAGGUUAUAGAAAUGAUAUUGACAUUGAGAGCUUUUAAGAAGUUAUUUGUACUGUAUUGCAUCAUCCUCUUCAUAAAUAUGAACUGUUGAGAGCUAUUAAGUAUUCACACCCAGACUUACUUUUCUGGUCAAAUCAGCAGGAAUUUAUAAGAACUCGUCAUCCUUGGCACGCUUCUGUGUAAAUAACCGUAGUCAACCAAGACCUCUUCAUCAAGAUUUCUCAUAUUGUUUUGUUGAAUCUUCUCAAAUGGAGCGGUGUGUAGAACUGUGUGCAAUAGAGUAACCAGUCAUUUUUUGAUGUUAAAAUAUACAAAUGUUACUA